GGGAUCUUCGGCAAUGGGGGCAACCCUGACCGAGCAACGCCGCGUGAGUGAAGAAGGUUUUCGGAUCGUAAAGCUCUGUUGUAAGAGAAGAACGUGUGUGAGAGUGGAAAGUUCACACAGUGACGGUAACUUACCAGAAAGGGACGGCUAACUACGUGCCAG
rnacentral:rRNA from 1 species